UGAUACUGCAGAGGUACUUCGAGUUUGAGAAGUCGGCCGGGAUGCGGUGGUUGCUGAAGUUCGGAGGAUUUAAGGAGAGGUUGCUAGCGGAUGAUUUGUUCUUAGCCAAGCUUGUCAUGGAGUGUGUUGUUGUCAUCUUUACAAAGGCUGCUGCAGAACUGGAGCGGCGUAAAGAAAAAUUUACUAAGGAGCUGGAUUUUGUUGUUGCCAAUGUGGUAACAGGCAUUGUAACAGGUUUCGUGCUUGUAUGGUUUCCUGCUCCUGCAGUUCCUCUCAAACGCCCUCCAGCAGUUAGUGCUGGACCUAUUGCUAAAUUCUUCUAUGGCUGUCCUGAGAAUGCUUUUCAGGUGGCUUUGGCUGGAACAUCAUAUACACUUAUACAACGAAUAGGCGCUAUAGUGCGGAAUGGGGCAAAACUAUUUGUUGUCGGGACUGGUGCAUCACUGAUUGGUAUAAGCAUUACAAAUGCAUUGAUCAAUGCACAGAAGGUUGUUAAAAAAAAAUUGCCUGCUGAGAUUGAGAACUUACCUGUAAUAUCAACCAGUGUCGCAUACGGAGUUUACAUGGUGGUGGUUAGCAACAUCAGGUACCAAAUACUUGCAGGAAUUAUUGAGCAACGGAUUCUAGAACCGCUGCUAAGGCAAAACAAGCUUAUGCUAAGUGCAGCUUACUUUGCUGUUAGAACUGCCAACACUUACUGGGGUUCUCUUCUGUGGGUGGAUUUUGCUCGAUGGGCUGGAGUCCAGAAGAUAAAAGACUAGGCGUUGUUAUGCAUUACAAGAUAUUGCAAAGUAAUAUUCACUUUGAUCUUUAUCUUGGUAAACGAGAAACUAAAGUGCCAUGGCAUAAAAGUUUGAAGCACCCAUAACCCCAUUCUAGUGAGGGAGAGCAGCUGAGAAAAAGAGGAGAGUGAAGAACCAAAAAUCUCCAAAUGUCACUAUUCAUCAUCAUCUUUAAAUCCUCAUAAUUUUCAAUUCGGAGCUUCGAUUGAUGAGUUAUUUGUGGCCACACGUUCAUCUCGAAUCCCUCUUCAAUUCUAUCUAAACAUUGUGAUGAGUAAACACGAAAUCCUUUUCCAGUGUUCUGUUUCCUUCAAUUUCGUGUUUUUAAGAUAAAUUGUUGAGAGAAUUGUGAUUUUGAUACUUGAGGGGAAAUUCAAGAACAAUUUCACGUGGGAUUUUGACCCAAGAUUGAGUGGUACAAGAUUAUAUGGAUUAGCUUGGCUUGUUUGAAAUUGGCUUUGGCAUUGAUUUGGCGUGGAGUUGAGUUGCAAAUCGAAGUGAUGAGAUUUUGGUGGACGUUGGAGUUUUCCGGAGGAACGCAAAGUGUUGGAGGAACCGUCAUCUAGAGGUACGAGUUUUAGUUUCAAGUAGGCAUUAUGUAAAACUAUGUGAAAACCUAGGUCAAUUGUCCCUAAGACAGGAUUGAUGGAAUUGUUUGAUGUUGUGUUAAUUAGUUGUGAUUUGUGAAUUUAGUAGUUAUUGAGUGAUAUAAAUGUGUAUAUGAAUGAGUUGAAUUGAAUAUGAAUUGUGGUAUGCUUAAUUAUGAUGGAAAUUAAUAUGAAAAUUGGACCAGAGGAUGAGAUAGGAUGAGAUAUUUCCUAUUUGGUAAGUCACGGUAAGUGAUGAAUUUGCCAUGAGUGAAUUGUGGUGGGAUAAUGAGAAUUUGGUUAUAUGAAUGGAUUGUUGGUUUGAUUAUUGACGGAAAAUUUUAGAAAUGAUUGGCAGAUUGAAAUUGGUUAAUUAGAUGUUGAUUGGUUAGGAAAUGGUGAAUGAGUGUUAAGAAUGCUUAGUAAAGGUUUUGGUAUGAUUUGGAAUUGAGUUGGAUGGAAAAUUGGUGAAAAUGAGCAUUGAUGUAAAUUUGGUAAAAAUCAGUUUUUAAUCAAUUUUGAUGGGUCAUAACUUGGUGCUCGGAGUUUAGAGUUGAAUGAGAGUUCUCUUAAAUUAAAGAUAAUAAAAAGACCUUUAAAACCAUUUAAGAAUGAGGAAAAAGUGAUUUUUGUAGAGGAAGUUAUAAAUGUUUGAAAACUGAGGUUUUUGAGCUGAAUUCUAAAAAAUUGCAGAAAAAUCCAAAAUUUUAGCCUAUGUGCUCACGCAUGCAAUGGUGUCCACACACAGGGCAGAAUGAGUAAAAAGACUCGUGCGUAUGCACCUCCAGGAAUUUUUCAAGUUGUGCCUGCACACUAGGGAUCAUGCGUACGUAUAAGCUGGGACGUACUUCUGAUUUGUGCAUACGCACAAGUGUGAUGCAUACACAUAAGUUCUUAUUUUUCAAUUAAACUCUGUUUUUGACUGUUUGACUUUUUCGCCAAACUUGUAAACUUUCGUAACCCCCAAUUAAGGUCCGAUAGCUAGUUUUUAGGCUUGAAAAUGAGUGUGAGCAUAAUUAAGGGAUGAAAUUAAUAAAUUUGAAUAAGAUUGUGGAUUGGAGUGUCAAAGGUAAUGAUGGGUUGAUGAAAACUUGUGAGUAACAUAAUGAACUUAUUGAAUAUUAAAUUGACAUAACACAUGAAUGAUAAGACUAAUGAUGAAUUGAGAUGUAUUCUGGCAAGGUCAGUGGUAUAACCCACUUGCUUUUUGACUGCUGUUUGCUCUUGGCAAGGACGUGGCAAAGACAGUGGUAAAUUUUGUUUGUGCUGAGCUGAGAUAUGCCAAAACAAGGACGAUGGUUGAUCCUGCUUAUUUUGUGGCUCUCUCUGAUUGCAAGGGUGGCCAGGCUUGCGAUUUCCGAAUAGAUGCCUCCAGAAGAAGGUGACAGGCACUAAUCUCUCUUAGACCGCAUGUGAUAAGUCCAGGGUAAUGCCUCCUAAGGAUGCACGAUAGAUAAAAAAUGUCCGGGUUAUCUACUAGAUGUAUAAGGUUCUGGCAAUGUAAUCGACACAUGAGCUCAUGGCCAGUAGAACAGGCAUACAUCAUAUGCAUUUAUGUGAAAUUGUUUGAGUGUGCAUUAUUUUAGUAUGCCUACGUGUAUAUCCCUAUUUAAUUGCUAAUUGUUGUAUAUGUUAUAAUUGUUUUUGAUUGUGUU